AGCCAUAUGACUUUCUGCAUGUUC
rnacentral:siRNA from 1 species